rnacentral:rRNA from 1 species
CAGUAGCCGCGGGAAUACGAAGGGGGCUAGCGUUGUUCGGAUUUACUGGGCGUAAAGGGUGCGUAGGCGGAUUGUUAAGUCAGGGGUGAAAUCCCGAGGCUCAACCUCGGAACUGCCUUUGAUACUGGCGAUCUUGAGUCUGGGAGAGGUGAGUGGAACUGCGAGUGUAGAGGUGAAAUUCGUAGAUAUUCGCAAGAACACCGGUGGCGAAGGCGGCUCACUGGCCCGGAACUGACGCUGAGGCACGAAAGCGUGGGGAGCAAACAGGAUUAGAUACCCCCGUAGUCCCUGUCUCUUAUAC